rnacentral:piRNA from 1 species
UACUAAGGUGCUUAAGAAGUUUGGUAUGUU